GACAGAGGGUGCAAGCGUUGUUCGGAAUCAUUGGGCGUAAAGGGCGCGUAGGCGGUAACGUAAGUCCGAUGUGAAAGCCCCAGGCUCAACCUGGGAAGUGCAUCGGAUACUGCGAUACUUGAGUGCUGGAGAGGAUAGCGGAAUUCCCAGUGUAGAGGUGAAAUUCGUAGAUAUUGGGAGGAACACCAGUGGCGAAGGCGGCUAUCUGGACAGACACUGACGCUGAGGCGCGAAAGCGUGGGGAUCAAACAGG
rnacentral:rRNA from 1 species